GCCGGCCUGUGGUACAGACCUAUUUAUGCACGACAUCUUGAGUAAAGUAGUUCAUUUUAAGCGUUAUCCUCGAUAGCUCUUCACUGACAAUUUCCUUCAUAGUGCCCCCAUAAGUAACGACUGAUAACUGGCUUUAGCACGCCCAUUGGUGGCAAUAUUUUUUAUAUACAGGAAAUACAAGAUGUCUUCUCAAAAACAAAAAGGUUCAGUAAAGUGGUUUAACGAGUCUAAAGGCUUCGGCUUUAUUACUCCUGCUGACGGCAGCAAAGAUGUGUUUGUGCAUUUUUCAGCUAUUGACAGUUCAGGGUUUAAGACUUUAGGUGAAGGUCAAAUGGUCGAAUUUAGUAUUGAAAAUGGCGCUAAAGGUCCAUCUGCUGCAAAUGUUUCAGUGAUCAGCUAGUUUUAUUACACCUUAGGAUGAGGAUUAACCUCAUCCUUUUU
rnacentral:sRNA from 1 species